CAUGUGGUUUAAUUCGAUGCAACGCGAAGAACCUUACCUGGUCUUGACAUCCACGGAAGUUUUCAGAGAUGAGAAUGUGCCUUCGGGAACCGUGAGACAGGUGCUGCAUGGCUGUCGUCAGCUCGUGUUGUGAAAUGUUGGGUUAAGUCCCGCAACGAGCGCAACCCUUAUCCUUUGUUGCCAGCGGUCCGGCCGGGAACUCAAAGGAGACUGCCAGUGAUAAACUGGAGGAAGGUGGGGAUGACGUCAAGUCAUCAUGGCCCUUACGACCAGGGCUACACACGUGCUACAAUGGCGCAUACAAAGAGAAGCGACCUCGCGAGAGCAAGCGGACCUCAUAAAGUGCGUCGUAGUCCGGAUUGGAGUCUGCAACUCGACUC
rnacentral:rRNA from 1 species